UCGCCCUUAGAGUUUGAUCCUGGCUCAGGAUGAACGCUGGCGGCGUGCCUAACACAUGCAAGUCGAACGGAACUGUUUUGAAAGAUUUCUUCGGAAUGAAUUUGAUUUAGUUUAGUGGCGGACGGGUGAGUAACGCGUGAGUAACCUGCCUUCAAGAGGGGGAUAACAUUCUGAAAAGAAUGCUAAUACCGCAUGAUAUAUCGGAAUCACAUGAUUUUGAUAUCAAAGAUUUUAUCGCUUGAAGAUGGACUCGCGUCCGAUUAGUUAGUUGGUGAGGUAACGGCUCACCAAGACCGCGAUCGGUAGCCGGACUGAGAGGUUGAACGGCCACAUUGGGACUGAGACACGGCCCAGACUCCUACGGGAGGCAGCAGUGGGGGAUAUUGCGCAAUGGGGGCAACCCUGACGCAGCAACGCCGCGUGAAGGAUGAAGGUUUUCGGAUUGUAAACUUCUUUUAUUAAGGACGAAAAAUGACGGUACUUAAUGAAUAAGCUCCGGCUAACUACGUGCCAGCAGCCGCGGUAAUACGUAGGGAGCAAGCGUUGUCCGGAUUUACUGGGUGUAAAGGGUGCGUAGGCGGCUUUGCAAGUCAGAUGUGAAAUCUAUGGGCUCAACCCAUAAACUGCAUUUGAAACUGUAGAGCUUGAGUGAAGUAGAGGCAGGCGGAAUUCCCCGUGUAGCGGUGAAAUGCGUAGAGAUGGGGAGGAACACCAGUGGCGAAGGCGGCCUGCUGGGCUUUAACUGACGCUGAGGCACGAAAGCGUGGGUAGCAAACAGGAUUAGAUACCCUGGUAGUCCACGCUGUAAACGAUGAUUACUAGGUGUGGGGGGUCUGACCCCUUCCGUGCCGGAGUUAACACAAUAAGUAAUCCACCUGGGGAGUACGGCCGCAAGGUUGAAACUCAAAUGAAUUGACGGAA
rnacentral:rRNA from 1 species